UGCGUAGGCUGGAAUGUAAGUCAUAUGUGAAAUUUCAAGGCUCAACCUUGAAGCUGCAUCUGAAACUACAUUUCUUGAGGGAUGGCGGAGAAAAUGGAAUUCCACGUGUAGCGGUGAAAUGCGUAGAUAUGUGGAAGAACACCUGUGGCGAAAGCGGUUUUCUAGCUUCCCCCUGACGCUGAGGCACGAAAGCAAGGGGAUCAAACA
rnacentral:rRNA from 1 species